UAAAUUAAUUCGGUGGAUUGUGAAAGAGAAUCUUUUUCUUGCGCACACUUAUCUGUGAUUUUUUUUUAAUAAUAAGAAAAAAAUAAGAAUGCUUGGCAUCAAUAUAAAAUUAAAUAACAUCAAUCAUAAGUAUAAUAUAAAAUAUCUCCAUUAUCUAUAAGUUACCGUAAUGAGAUCACUUUCAGUAAUAAAAUAAUUGCAAUAAAUCUUAAAAGAAUUAAAACUAUAAAUUUUACAAUUAAUGACAAUAAAAUAUUCUAAACCAAUGAUUAAAAAUGAAUCAAUGAACAGAUAUGGUCCACUGGUUGGAGCAAUCGAUGAAGGAACCAGCAAUGUGAGAUUUAUGGUGUUUGCAGCAGAUACUGCUGAAGUAUUGACGUAUCACCAAACAACGAUACCGCUGUUGAAUCCUGAAGAAGGAUGGGUUGAACAGGAUCCUAUUGCCAUUAUAAACGCUGUCAGAGAAUGUCUGAAACAAACAGUAAUUAAUCUCGAGCAACUUAGGAUAGAUCCGGCAGAUAUAGUUGCUAUUGGAGUGACAAACCAACGAGAGACAACAGUAGUUUGGGAUUAUGUCACUGGGGAGCCAUUAUACAACGCCAUAGUAUGGAUGGACACGCGAACUUCAGUAAUUGUUGAUGACAUAUUAAAGGGAAUUCGCAAUAAAAAUAAAAACUACCUCAAGCCGCUAUGUGGUUUACCAAUAAGCCCUUACUUUAGUGCAUUAAAAUUAAAAUGGUUGUUAAAUAAUGUACCUAGGGUACAAGAAAGUAUUGAUAAUAAACGUUGUAUGUUUGGUACAAUUGAUUCAUGGAUUAUUUGGAAUUUAACUGGUGGAGUAAAUGGAGGCGCGCACAGUACAGACGUUACCAAUGCAUCACGUACAAUGUUAAUGAACAUAACGACUUUAAAAUGGGAUCCAACUUUACUAGCAUUUUUUAAUAUUCCGAAAGAAAUAUUACCCCAGAUACGCAGUUCUUCUGAAAUUUAUGGAUUUAUUCAUGAUGAUAUGCUUAAAGGUGUACCGAUAUCGGGUUGCUUAGGUGAUCAGCAGUCUGCAUUGUUAGGUCAAAUGUGUUUACAACGUGGUAAAGCUAAAAGUACAUAUGGUACUGGAUGUUUUCUUCUUUAUAAUACAGGGACCUCGAUGGUACAAUCUAAGCACGGCUUAUUAACCACGGUAGCUUAUCAAUUAGGACCAAAAUCACCGCCAAUUUACGCCCUAGAGGGCUCAAUAGCCAUAGCAGGAAUAAUUUUAGAUUGGUUGAGAAAUAAUCUAAAUAUAUUUAUUGAUAGUUCUAAUGAUACUGAGUGUAUUACUCAUAAACGUUCGACGACGGACGUCACAUUUGUACCAGCAUUUACAGGUCUUUACGCUCCAUAUUGGAACAAAGAUGCUAAAAGUAUUAUUUGUGGUAUUACCUACAACACAACAAGCACUCACAUAAUAAAGGCAGCUUUACAAGCUAUUUGCUUUCAAAUCCGCGAUAUUUUAGAGUCUAUAAAAAAGGACACAGGCUUCACAUUAGGAAAACUGCUUGUUGACGGAUCCAUGACCAGUAAUAAUUUAUUAAUGCAAAUGCAAGCAGAUAUUUGCGGUAUUCCAGUUGGAAGUCAGGCCUUUGAUGAGUGAAACUUCAGCGCUGGGGGUUGCGAUUGCUGCUGGCUGUGCCGAUGGGAUUAAAGUUUGGGAUCUCAAAGUAGAUACCGCUGUGCCAAGUGAUAUUUUCAUGCCAAUGAUUGUUGAUGAUGAACGAGAUAUUUUGUAUGAACAGUGGAAAAAAACUGUUGAAAAAAGUUUCGGCUGGGAAUCUUCCGAUGACGCAAAGUAUGAUGCUUCCACAGAUAUUUAUAGAAUAACCUCAGGUGGAAUUUUCGCUUUAAGCACAAUAAUUAUUUUAGCAAUAGCUAAAUAUCGAUCGACCGUAUGACAGAAUUUAAAAGUAAAAAAAUUCUAAUAAAAUGCAUUUGAUAGUCAAUAGAACAAAGAGCCAUUGUUAAAUCAAACAAAAUAAUUUGUUAUUCAAAUAAAAAUGUAAAAAAAUUUUAAGUA
rnacentral:misc_RNA from 1 species